AGAGAGAGAGGCACACCCGUCCUCCUUAAUGAU
rnacentral:tRNA from 1 species